rnacentral:rRNA from 2 species
GAGGAAAAGAAACUAACAAGGAUUCCCCUAGUAACGGCGGAGUGAAGCGGGAACAGCUCAAAUUUGAAAUCUCACAGGGCCACCUGUGCGAAAUUGUAGUUUAGAGAAAGCGUUUUCGGGGGCGACUUGGUUAUAAGUCCUCUGGAACGAGGCAUCAUAGAGGGUGAGAAUCCCGUUUAUGAUCCAAUGUUCGCUCCUAUGUGAUACGCUUUCCAAGAGUCAGGUAGUUUGGGAUUGCUGCCUAAAAUGGGUGGUAAAUACCAUCUAAAGCUAAAUAAUGGCGAGAGACCGAUAGCGAACAAGUACCGUGAGGGAAAGAUGAAAAGAACUUUGAAAAGAGAGUUAAACAGUACGUGAAAUUGCCAAAAGGGAAACGCUUGGAACCAGUAUUGCCUGCAGGUAAUCAGCCUUGCGGCCCGAAAGGGUUAGCAUGGUGCACUUGCCUGCAGACAGGUCAACAUCAGUUUGGCUUGGGGUAAAAAGCCGGAGGAAGGUAGCUUGGGCUUCGGCCUGAGUGUUAUAGCCUCCGGUCAUGCCCUGGGCUGGACUGAGGUCUGCAGCGUUAUUUGGAUUCCCGAUCGCCUCUCGAACCUUGCCGACAGACAGCAUGCUGACUGUUGGCAAGGCUAGGGAGCCCGGUCGGUUUAUCACACCAACUCUUAGGAUGUUUCG